rnacentral:rRNA from 1 species
GGGUCAGUAGGUUGGUCGUGCCACCGGUACGUACUGGUCUCACUGAUUCCUCCUUCCUGAAGAACCGUAAUGCCAUUAAUUUGGUGUUGCGGGGAAACAGGACUGUUACUUUGAAAAAAUUAGAGUGUUUAAAGCAAGCUAACGCUUGAAUACAUUAGCAUGGAAUAAUGAAAUAGGACGUUCGAUCCUAUUCUGUUGGCUUCUAGGAUUGACGUA